rnacentral:rRNA from 1 species
UAGGUCUCUAGGAGUGGUCGUGCUGCCAGUGACUAUUAACGGCGCGGUAUUUGACGUGCGAGUAGCGCAUCACUUGUCUUAAUGAGACUGUAUGAUGUGUACGAGACUACUGUCUCCGUCGAGUCAUGAAAUUGAUCCUGGCCGGUGCAGGAGCGGGACUAAAAUACCAGCACGAGUAAACCCUUUGAGCUUAGAUCCCGAUCACCUGUGUCAGACCUAACGUCACCUCAUCCACUGAUCCGAUCUCUUUGGGCACUGGGGAUAACAAGUCCACGCGUCGGGCAACGCUUACCAGAGAUUUUUCGUCAGAGUCUGACUUUAACGGCAGCGCGCAUGGGACUUUCCCGAUACGAUCAUGAUGUCACCAGUUAACGGUUGAACAGCUUGUCAAUGCCGGAAGUGUAUGAUAGCGCCGAUGGCGGUUCUAGUGCAUAAAUUUACAUC